rnacentral:rRNA from 1 species
UACGUAGGGAGCAAGCGUUAUCCGGAUUUACUGGGUGUAAAGGGUGCGUAGGCGGCUUGGUAAGUCUAAAGUGAAAUUUCGGGGCUCAACCCCAGAUCAGCGUUGGAUACUGGCAGGCUAGACGGUUGGAGAGGCGAGUGGAAUUACCAGUGUAGCGGUGGAAUGCGUAGAUACUGGUAGGAACACCCAUUGCGAAGGCAGCUCGCUGGACAACACGUGACGCUGAGGCACGAAAGCGUGGGGAGCAAACGGGAUUAGAUACCCCCGUAGU